CUACGGGAGGCAGCAGUGGGGAAUAUUGCACAAUGGGCGCAAGCCUGAUGCAGCCAUGCCGCGUGUAUGAAGAAGGCCUUCGGGUUGUAAAGUACUUUCAGCGGGGAGCAAGGGAGUAAAGUUAAUACCUUUGCUCAUUGACGUUACCCGCAGAAGAAGCACCGGCUAACUCCGCGCCAGCGAGCCGCGGUAAUACGGAGGGUGCAAGCGUUAAUCGGAAUUACUGGGCGUAAAGCGCACGCAGGCGGUUUGUUAAGUCAGAUGUGAAAUCCCCGGGCUCAACCUGGGAACUGCAUCUGAUACUGGCAAGCUUGAGUCUCGUAGAGGGGGGUAGAAUUCCAGGUGUAGCGGUGAAAUGCGUAGAGAUCUGGAGGAAUACCGGUGGCGAAGGCGGCCCCCUGGACGAAGACUGACGCUCAGGUGCGAAAGCGUGGGGAGCAAACAGGAUUAGAUACCCGGGUAGUC
rnacentral:rRNA from 1 species